AACUCCAUUGUGUUUCCUGAACAGAGGAAACCACUGAGGAAAAGUAACACAAAUGUGGAUCACUUCAAGCAUAUGUUGUUAUGAGGGAACUAAAUGAAACGGUAAGCAGGAGUGAUCUGCCCAUGGCUGCAUAAUGUA